GGAAUCUUGUGCAAUGGGGGAAACCCUGACACAGCCAUGCCGCGUGUGUGAAGAAGGCCCUAGGGUUGUAAAGCACUUUCAGUAGGGAAGAAAAAGCCGGGCUAAUAUCCCGGUCAUACGACAUUACCUCCAGAAGAAGCACCGGCUACCCCCGUGCCAGCAGCCGCGGUAAUACGGAGGGUGCAAACGUUAAUCGGAAUUACUGGGCGUAAAGCGCGCGUAGGUGGUUCAUUAAGUGGGAUGUGAAAGCCCCGGGCUCAACCUGGGAAUUGCAUUCCAAACUGACGAACUAGAGUGCGAUAGAGGGGGGUAGAAUUCAGAGUGUAGCGGUGAAAUGCGUAGAUAUUCUGAGGAAUACCAGUGGCGAAGGCGGCCCCCUGGAUUGACACUGACACUGAGGCGCGAAAGCGUGGGGAGCA
rnacentral:rRNA from 1 species